rnacentral:siRNA from 1 species
CCAAGGAGUCUGACAUGUGUGCG